GCUUUGCAGGAGCUUUCAUAACUCAUGUAUUGAGGUCCUGGUCGAAGGAGAUUCAAGAUAGAGCUUAAGAGCAUGUGGUCGCAAUUGAGAUAAUAAGUUUGUCUAAAUGUGAAAGAAGGAGAAGUGUGUUGUCAUAUUUGACUAGACUAAGGUGAGGGUGGUAUUUGCGAAGCAUGGUAUCAUUUUCUUUUGUUAUGCUUCCUAACUCAUGAUAUGUA